ACCAUUUAUUUCGCGAAGAGUUAUUAGAAGUUGAUAGACUUUAUUUUCAUGUUUUGUGUCCAGAGAGUUCUGGUGCAAGUGAUUUAGUCAGUCUGAUUCAGAAAAUGAUUCUAGCCAUGAAAGUAAUGCUGUCAAUGAUGAAUCAGAUGAUGAUAUAUGUAAUGCAGAGACUGUUCAGUGUGAAAGUUUUGACCAUGAUUUAGAACCUUCUGCAGAGUAUUUAAGACAGAGAAAGAAAACUGAUGAUUUCUUUGCUCAGACCUGCAAGUGUGAAAAACUUUAGGCAAACCAUGCAGUCAAGUUGUCGAUGGUAAUGAUAUAACUGACUUACGUAUGUAUUCAGCCGGUAUGCAGACAGAUGAACUUGAUCUUGUUAUUAAAUCAGCCAUGUUGUGCCACAGAAAAAAUGGCCAACAAACUGACAGUUGUAAACAUAAACGGCAGGAGAGGGUUAGGCCCAGUCAGUAGUUUUAUAUUAAGGGAGUUGAAGUUUGCCGUGAGGUAUUCUGUUUCGCAUACAACAUCGGAAAGGAGAAACUAAAAAGAAUUGGUCGCUCUCUUGACAAUGAUGGAUUGAUUGCUAGGACUCAUGGUAAUACCAAAAGACUACCUCAUAAUGCAAUCACAUUUGAGGAGAGAACACAUAAGAAAAUUCCUCAUCUGCUAUGCAUCUGACAAUGCAAUGCCCGUUCCCGGAAGACUUCCAAACCACCGCAAUAGUAAAGUGUUGUUGUUGCCAUCUGAUAAAUCACAAGCAGACAUUCAUGUUGAAUAUGAAAAAAAUAGAGGGUGCUAGAAGCUAUGGCAUGAGUUGUGCCCACAUAUAGUCUUAGCUAAACCAAAAACAGACUUGUGUUUUAGAUGCCAAACCUUUUCUUUUAAUAUGUCACAAAGUGGUGCCCUUUCUGAAGAUGAUAAAAUGACACUUUUUGAUGAAUAUGAAAGUCAUGUUGAAAGUGCUAGACAUCAGAGGGAGCAAUAUAGAAUGCAGUGUGAUUACUCUAAAGUUACAUGUAGUGAAAACAUGAAGUUGAAGGUUCAGAGUCAUGUUCCUUAGAUGCAACCGUCCACUACAGCUGGGACUUUGCACAGCAGGUUCAUAUUCCACACCAUAGCCAACAGGUUGGACCCCUGUAUUUCAAAACUGCCGGAGGAGAUGUGAGGUAUUUGGAGUUUGCUGUGAAGGAUCUGAGAAACAGGUGUUUUGCCUGGGUGAGGCACAUGCUCAGUUCCACUUUGACAAUUGCCAAGGACAACAAAAAUAAUGCCGUUCUUGGUUAUGCUGUGUGGAGAACAUUGACAGGAGGGCAUAAGACAAUCCAAUACUCACUGAUGCUAGCCGGCCACACCAAAUUUUCAUGCGACUGGCAUUUUGGAGUUUGGAAAAACAGAAUGAGAUACAUGGAUGCAGAGACAGUUGAGGAGGUGGCUUCCACAGAAGCCAUGUCAUCCCGUAAUGGCCACAACAUUCCACAUAUUGUUGAUGGCAACAGCAAACAAGUGUCGUUCUAUGACUGGAGCACCUUCUUCAAAGGCAUUUUCAAACCAUUAUAAUGGGAAUAAGUGCAGAAAGGCAAUGGUACUUGCAUGAUGUAAAAAGAGACUUUUGCGGAUCAGAUAAUGCAAAAAACACAACAUACCCAUUGCCAUUAGUUGCAAAAGAAGGCUAUUCAAAGGCCAAAAAACAAAAGUUGAAAUAGGCAACUUUAUUGAGAACACUUUCUGUGUGUGUUUCAGCAAAAGUUAUAGUUUGUUUCUUGCUAUAAAUAUAUUGGCAUGUGUAAGUGGAAGUUUUAUGUUUUCAUUUACAUUCAAAGAAUAUAUUUCUUUGUGUUACAUUGAUAAAAUAUUCAUGAUCUUAGGAAUGUAUGGUUUCCUUGGCAACCAAAAGUAACACACUUGAUUGAUCAUUAAAUACUUAUGUGUAAACAUGUAUUUCAAUUUGGGAAUAUCAUUGAACAGUCGGCCAUCUAUAAGUAAAGUAUGAUGGCAUUCAUAUUUUCCAUACACGACUCCAGUAUAAUGUGAAAGUGUACAUUUAUAAGUCUAUAUGUUAAUAGUUAUACAUUAAUAUAGUUUCAAUAAUCCUUGCAUGCAUAUGUUUGUUGUCAAUUUUGUCAAAUAAGGCAUGUGUCAAUGCUUUCCUUGUAAAUACAUUUCAUUCUGUGUCAUCUUACAACUCCAAAAGAAUGAAAUGAGCAAAAAAAAAGAAUUAUUCUAGGUAUAAGUCAGUUGCUAUGGCAACCAAGUAUAACAUUCUUAUUGAUUUUAAAAAUAAUUGAUUUCACCAGACAAGUUACAUCUUUUAAAUAAUUGCUUGUUUUAAAAUAAUAUGUUUUUUGUUUUGAUUAAUACAAGGAUAAGCUGCACUACUUUUGAACAAUUAACCUUGUUUUAGAAAAGUUGCAGAUUUUCUUUACAGGGUCUAUGUAAAAUUGCUGUUAACAUUCUAUUUUACUACAUAGCUGGCUGAAAUUUUAAUGCUGUACUAAAAUAUUUCCUGCAAACAUAAUCUAUCAAAUUCAAAUGUGAUUUUGUCUAUUUGAGCUGCUUUUGCGUUUAUUUGGAUAAAUUUCUCGUGAAAAAAUUGUAGUCAUGGCAACCGUUUCUAUGAAAUGUACAUGUAGUGUUACAUUUUCCAUAAAUGAUGUUAUUGAUGUUAUGAUAAUGUUUCCACAGAAAUAAAAAAUGCUGGAUUCAGUU